rnacentral:lncRNA from 1 species
UAUGAACUUUGUUACAAAUAUACAAAUAAGAUAGCCUCACUUACAACAAAAUAAGUAGUAGGGAUGUAAAACUAGGGAAAAGAAAAGCUAGUUAUUAAAAUACAUAAUAGAUAAAGAGUUUCAGGUAUUUUCUCUUACUUUCUCAAGUAUUUUAAAUAUUACACUUCAUGAGCUUGUGUCUUGAAAUGUUUAAAAUGUGAAAAUAUGGAACCUUAAAAAGAAACAGUCACCAUCUGAAAGAAGAUAAGCUUGUUUUUCACUUCAAGUACCUUGGUACUUUGUAAAACAACUACCUGAUAUACUCAUUUGGAUACAAAUGAGGUAAAAAUUAUAAAUAGGGAAAGUUAGAUCUUUAGAGUCAAAGAGGAAAAAAGAACAAAUUUAUAAAUGUAUAGUGUCUUAGAAUUAAUUUUAUGUAUUUUCAAUAGUUUAAGAUAUCAGAAGCUUGGGAAAUAAAUAUAAAAUGUGUAAAUCAUCAAUGAUGCUCCAGAGCAACUCUACGGUAGCUAAACUGAGAUGCCAUUUCAUCUGAAUCCUUUGUAAAAAUAAG